rnacentral:tRNA from 1 species
AUGUCCCUAGUUUAUUUAAAAUGGUAGUUUGUCGUACUAUUGAUGUUGUUUAUUUACGGGAUAUG